AAUUUUGACUUUAGGUGGAAAUGAGCUCAUCAUGGCAACAAGGGAAACUCAGAGAAUUUUGCAAGCAGAAAGGAAUCCAUUUGGCUGCAUGGUCACCAUUAGGAUCUUACACAAAAUCAUGGGGUACUAAUUCAGUUAUGGAGAGUCCAAUCAUUAAUGAAAUAGCCACUUCUAGACACAAGAGUGUGCCUCAGGUUUAACCAAGUUGGAAUCUCUGAAUCUGAAGUAGUGUAAUUGCAUAAUAGAUGUCGAUAUGAAACCUCUAUCAGAGCUACAAAAUCUUGCUCUGUUA